GACGAACGCUGGCGGCGUGCUUAACACAUGCAAGUCGAACGGAAAGGCCCUGCUCUUGUGGGGUGCUCGAGUGGCGAACGGGUGAGUAACACGCGAGUAACCUGCCCUUGACUUUGGGAUAACUUCAGGAAACAGGGGCUAAUACAGGAUAGGAGCCCCUGCUGCACGGUGGGGGUGGGUAAGUUUCGGCGGUUGGGGAUGGACUCGCGGCUUAUCAGCUUGUUGGUGGGGUAGUGGCUUACCAAGGCGUUGACGGGUAGCCGGCCUGAGAGGGUGACCGGCCACAUUGGGACUGAGAUACGGCCCAGACUCCUACGGGAGGCAGCAGUGGGGAAUAUUGCACAAUGGGCGGAAGCCUGAUGCAGCAACGCCGCGUGCGGGAUGACGGCCUUCGGGUUGUAAACCGCUUUCGGCAGUGACGAAGCGUGAGUGACGGUAAUGGGUAAAGAAGCACCGGCUAACUACGUG
rnacentral:rRNA from 1 species